rnacentral:tRNA from 1 species
GCCUGGGUGGCUCAGUGGUUGAGCAUCUGCCUUUGACUCGGAGUGUGAUCCUGGAGUCCUGGGAUCAAGUCCCACAUCAGGCU